rnacentral:rRNA from 1 species
AUGAACGCUAGCGGCAGGCUUAAUACAUGCAAGUCGAACGGUAAGGUUUCUUCGGAGACACACGAGUGGCGCACGGGUGCGUAACGCGUAUGCAACCUACCUAUAACUGGGGAAUAGCCCCGAGAAAUCGGGAUUAAUACUCCAUAACAUCCUUUGGAUACCUGUCCAGAGGAUUAAAGCUCCGGCGGUUAUAGAUGGGCAUGCGUGGCAUUAGCUAGUUGGUGAGGUAACGGCUCACCAAGGCAACGAUGCCUAGGGGUCCUGAGAGGGUUAACCCCCACACUGGUACUGAGACACGGACCAGACUCCUACGGGAGGCAGCAGUAAGGAAUAUUGGGCAAUGGACGCAAGUCUGACCCAGCCAUGCCGCGUGAAGGAUGACUGCCCUAUGGGUUGUAAACUUCUUUUGUACGGGAAAAAACUCUCGGUCGAGCACCGGGACUGAUGGUACCGUGCGAAUAAGCAUCGGCUAACUCCGU